rnacentral:rRNA from 1 species
AGGGCGGGGGCUGGACCUCUCGGGGUUACAGCCUUGCUGAAUUAUUCACCCUUGUCUUUUGCGUACUUCUUGUUUCCUUGGUGGGUUCGCCCACCACUAGGACAAACAUAAACCUUUUGUAAUUGCAAUCAGCGUCAGUAACAAAUUAAUAAUUACAACUUUCAACAACGGAUCUCUUGGUUCUGGCAUCGAUGAAGAACGCAGCGAAAUGCGAUAAGUAGUGUGAAUUGCAGAAUUCAGUGAAUCAUCGAAUCUUUGAACGCACAUUGCGCCCUUUGGUAUUCCAAAGGGCAUGCCUGUUCGAGCGUCAUUUGUACCCUCAAGCUUUGCUUGGUGUUGGGCGUCUUGUCUCUAGCUUUGCUGGAGACUCGCCUUAAAGUAAUUGGCAGCCGGCCUACUGGUUUCGGAGCGCAGCACAAGUCGCACUCUCUAUCAGCAAAGGUCUAGCAUCCAUUAAGCCUUUUUUUCAACUUUUGACCUCGGAUCAGGUAGGGAUACCCGCUGAACUUAAGCAUAUCAAUAAGCCGGAGGGAAAA